UCUUUCAACUUUCAGAUCUAUGUUUCUUCUCUGUCUAGUUAGCUUCCUCAUAUACAUUGCAAUUAUUUUAUUCAUACAACAUUCCCUUCUGAAUGCUGACAACGGGAGAGCAACCAGCAGUUUCUUUGCCCUCAAGGUGUUCAUGGUUCAUGGUGGGAAGAAAUUUUUUUGACUGUCCUCUCUAGAAUGUGAAAUCCUUGGAAAUAGUAAUUGUCUUUGUUUUGUGUGUGUCCAGAUUCUACGAGGAACUGGAAUAUUAAGAUGCCCAAAAUAUGUUCAGUGAAUUAACUCAUGAAUCCUAGACACUUGAGGUCAAAAGAAAUUUUCCAGUCAACCACUAUCUCAAUGAAAUAUUUGAUUCUCCUUUAAAAUAUGCCAAUAAUUGGUCACCCGGUUUCUGCCCUCGUAGGAGGUCUAUUGUUUGUCAUUGGUGUUGAUAGACUCCAUGCAAAAUGGCUUUUCUCGUUUUUGUUUUUGUGUUUUUCUUUCAUUAUGAGAAAUAAUGAACCAAGAGGAGCCUGGGGAAAAUCCUAGGAUAUGUGAACAGAGGGAAAAAGAAAUGACCAUUAUGUAAUGAGAAAGUCAUAUAAACAGGUUAGAAAAAGAGACCGGACUAUUUACCUCACGUAGCACUCAUUCAAAACAGAGGGUCAAUAGCUACAGCUGUUUCAGUUUUGCCAAUUUUGCCCUCCAAAUUAGACACGUGCCUUCCAUUUACUUUAAUAGGAGCCAUAUGCGUGCAGUUGAUGGUGGUACUUAUCACUCAGGAAGUGAAGUGCUGAGUUCCUGCCACCCACCCACAACCGUGGCUUUAUAAGCCACAGGCAAAUGAAACACAAACAUGCUGCUGGCAUAGUAGGAACCUGUGGAGCUCUGACAAAACCAGGCAGGAAGAAACAGAUAAUUGGGGUGUGGAGACUCUGUGCUGGCAGGCUGCUUGAGGAUCAUAAAAGAUCAUGGCGUCACAUAAGGCCAGCUAGCCGAUCUAUACAUUGGAUUUCCUGCUCUGAAGGAGUUUGGGAUCUCUCAUCACUUCUGCAGACAAGGUUUUACCUGAAGAACCCGCCACUCGGAAAUGCCUGUGAGCUUUUAAGCACUGCUAUUGGCCAGAGCAGGUCAGAAUCUGAGCGCCAGGUCUGCUAGAAGGGAGGAACAGAGCUUUGGACUCCAAAUAAUCACUUACCAGGAGGGUCUUCCAGUCUGGAAAUGGUUUGGCUUUCUGCCUGGAUCAAAAGCAAGAACUGUAUUUGCCUUUGAGAAAAGGAUUUGUGACCAGACUUUUGUUUUCCAGUGCUGUUUUACAGAAAUCUGCAACCACAUACUACCCAGAUGUGUUUGUUAUAUGAGGAUAGAAAUAUUUCAUGCCCUUUUGGAGCAAAAGUGGCUUCAGAAUUAAUGGUGAUCCACUCAGCAUCACUGACCAUAGCCUCAGAACUGCUUGACUGUUCAGUGGGCACAUGGCAAUGAGGAAGAGUGAGACCCACUAGGUGAGACCUCACAAGAUGUCCAUGGAUAUUGAAAUCCAACAAGAAUCAUUGGAUAAUAAAGUCCAUUUUCCCCCAAUGGGAAAAACUCUGGUGGUAUUUAAAAUAGUUCCUGGGAUGCCUGGCUAGCUCAUCCAGCCAGAAGUACCUUGAACAGCAGAGAAAAUUCUUCCUCUCCAACAGUUGGCACACUCAGCAGGACACCACUCACCUGACACCCUGCAGUAGCUGAGAGAUCCUUGAGAAAUCUGACAAACAGCUGACAAAAGGUGUAUCCUAGACAUCCCUUGGCCCCCAGCUGCCACUGCAAGGGUUCAUGUCCCCUUGUUACAGCAAAUACUUGGUGCCCAGGAAGAGACAAGCCACAUGAACUUGGGGAAUGAGAAGAAGGCUGUUUAUUGCUCACCGGUGCCAGCCCAGCAGAGUCACCUCCAAAGGCUCAGCUCUGAACCUUGGCAUCUGCCUCCUUUUAUGGCUGGGAUGGUAAGGGAUUGAGAGACAAAAGAAAAAGGAGAGGGGACACUUAUCAGUGGUGCUACAUGAGUAGUUGGAAGCAGGAGGCAAGAAAGAUUACAGAAGCCAAAGGUAUGCAAGGGGUGUAUGCAGCCCCAGACAUCUGGCUGACCUGUUUUAUCUUGUUUUUAGUAGCUUUUCUUCUCAUUCCACCCUCUUGAUUCUUAAGCUGCUGUAGCAGACUUAGAGAAAAUCAAUUUAUGGGGUCCAGGGAACCCUUUGCCACCAUGGGAGGAGGGGCUAAGACCAUUCUGGCUUCUUCCUGCUGGAUAAGGACAUGGAAGGGAGGCAGGCAUCUAGGGUUCUUCAUCAUCCAAAGGAGAGUAGCGACAGGUAGAACGGUCCAACUGGAGCAUCAUCUGGACUUUUAUAGCUUCUGGAUGAGAGGAAACAAACCUGGGGAGCAUAUUAAGAAUACAAGGACCAAAUAGGAGGAUUAUGAAAAGCAUUAGGAGAGGACCAGCUAAAAGGAGGAGCCAAAAGGCCCAAUUCCAUAUGUUACUCCAAGAGUUUCACGAAUCUGCUAGUUCCUGUCUUUAUCUGUUGAUUCGCUUCCUUAACUGCUGGACCAUAUCUCAGACUAGCCCUGAUUUGUUGACAGAGAAGCACCAUUCUUCAUUUAGGAAGAGACAUAAUCCUCCCCUUUUGGCAGUUAGCAGGUCCAGCCCUCUUCUAUUUUGUAAGACUACCACUGCUAGGGAGUCUACUUGGUCUUGUAAAACCAUCAGGGAUUUGGUAACAUGUUUUAUGUCAUCUGUUAGGUCCAUGAUAAUAAGUGGUUGAAGAGAUCAGGUUUGUUUCCUCUACUAUUCCAGUGCCCACCCUUGUCGUUAUUCCUAAGGCAAUAAGAAGAGUUAUGACUUGAAUGGUUCUUUGUGCCUUGGGGGACAAGGGCAAGUAUAAGUCAUACAUUGCAUGGUGGGAGUGAGAAGACUCCUCUUGAACAGGUUAGGAACAGGAAUAUGUGUAGCAAGGACAGGAAGUAGGGCGAUCCCAUCCUGGGGUAGGAGUCGGUUAUAACAGUAGAGAACAACAUGCAGAGAAAGACAUCAAUCAUAACGCAGAUAAUAUACAUCUAAGGAGAAUAAUGCAUCCUGACACUAGUAAGUAGAGGAAGGCUAACAAGAGUUUGUGACUGAGGUGCUAGUCUGCGGGAGUGACUUGGGUCAGCCCUACGCAAAGAGUAGAGCAACACAUAUUGAAAGAGAAUAUGAAACCUGAGAACCAUGAAAUCUGAGAGAGAACAAUUGGUUACAGUUCAUUUAAGUUGCUUGGUGAUUUUCCUCAAGCUUCUGGUUACAGAGAGUUCUCAGGUGUUGGCUGCAGGCCACUUAUUGUCUGCUAUCUUCCUAACAGUGAUCUAUAGAGAAUUAUUCUGGUUAGCCAUUACUUUCCAUUUCAAGUGGUUGUCAGGUGACAGAUGGGCUGCCUUUACUCCAGAAUAGUAGAUCCAUGUGGUUAGUCCUGCAACCUUGAGAGCUGUGGUCAUGGUUAGCACAACUAGGUAAGGUCCCUUCCAGGGAGGUUUAGGCAGUUCCUUUUUCCAGUCUUUUAUCCAAGCCUGAUCCCCAGGUUUGUGGGGGAAUAUAAUUAUUCCUAGGUGACAUUCCAUAGAUGCCACUCAUCUAUGUAUCUCAAAUACAGUUUUCCCAAGUCCUUGUAGUUGUUUUUAUAUUGCUAAAUUCCCCAGCUCUGUCAGGUCCCCCUUGAAUUUGACUAGUGAAGGGGUCUUCCAUAUAGGAUCUCAAAGGGGGAGAAUCCUAUUUUUGCCCGGGAUGUACAGCAUAUUUGGAGAAGAGCUAGGGGUAGUAUAUCUGGCCGGGACAAGUUAGUUUCCUGACAUAGUUUGCCAUGGCUGAUAUAAGGGUCUAGUUCAUAUGUUCCCUGAACUCUGGGGCUGGUAGGCUGCUGUUAAGUACCUUUGGAUAUCUAGGGCUUUGGCUACUUGUUGCACCACCUCGGCCACAAAGGCUGGGCCAUUGUCUGAGCUUAUGGUUAACAGUAUUCCAUGUCUGGGAACGAUAUCCCUUAGCAAGGCUUUGGGUACUUCUCUUGCCUUUUUGGUGAGUGUGGGAUAGACUUUAACCCAGUCCAAAAACAUGCAGAUUAAUACCAAAAAAAUAUUUGUAUCCUUUACUGGGUCUUAUUUUGAUAAACUCUACCUCUAAAUCUUUGAAGAGUGCCUGACCACAGUGUUGGACUUCUAUGGGCCCAGUGGGGCCUUGUUUGGCAUUAUUUUGAGCACAGAAGAGGUGGCAUUGAGAGACCUAGGCACAGGGGGAUUAGAGUCAAGCAAUUACAUAGUAAUGGCUUAAUAAGGUUUCAAGGGCAGUUUUUCCUAGGUGGGUAAGCUCAUGCUGUAGGAGAGCCACCUGGUAUGCUAGCUGCUCCAGUACAUAGACUCUUUGGUCUGGAAGUACCCACCAUCCUUCUUUUGUCUGGCCUUUUUCCUGUUGUGCCCAUUUUGUUUCUUGGAUUGUGUACUUUGGGGAAGUUGGCAGCUCUGGGGCAUGAUUUUUGAGGGUGUUGUUUGUUUUUCUGCUGCUUGUUUAGCUGUGGUGUCAGCUUGUCGAUUCCCUUCCAAUGCUGACUCCUUUCCUCUGGUGUCCCUUGCAGUGGAUGACUGCUACCUCCCUUGGUUCCCAGACUGCCCUUAAUAGCUUUAGGAUUUCUUCCCAAUUUCUGAUUUCUCUUCCUCCUGCGGUCACAAGUUCUCUCUCCUUGUAUAGAGCCCCAUGUACACGUAGAGUGGCAAAGGCAUAGUGCCAAUCAGUGUAUAUGUUGGCCUGUUUGUCUUUCCUGAAUUCUAGUGCUCUUAGUAGGGCCCACAGUUCUGCUUUUUGGGCUGACCAACCUCGUGGAAGGGCCUUUGUUUCUGUGACCUCAAAAUCAGAGACUACUGCAUAACCAGCAUAUCUUUUGCCUUUGUUCAUGAAGCUUCUGCCGUCAGUGUGCAGGAUGAGGUCAGGAUUUUGUAAGGGCCUGUCUCAUAGGUCAGGUUGGCUAGAAUAUACUUCAUCAAGUACCUCUAGACAAUCAUGUUCUGGGGACCCCACCACUGCAGGCAAGAAAGUGGCAGAUUUAGAGUUGAUAGCUUCCAGUCUUAUUCACGGGUUCUCACAUAACAGUCCCUGAUAUUGUAUGGCCCUCUGGCAUCCAUCAAGGUUUUAACAGAAUGGGGAACCUUAACAUUUAGGUUUUACCCCAAACGUGAGUUUGUCUGCUUCCAUGAUUAAAAGUGUGGUGGCUGUUAGUGCUCUCAGACAGUGUGGCCACUGAGUCAAUCUGCUUUGAAAGGUAUGCCACUGGUCUUUGCCAACGUCCAAAUUCCUGGGUAAGAACCCCGAGGGCCACUCCCUUCUUAGGUAUGAACAGUUGAAAUCUCAUGAUACAUCUGGGACUCUCAAGGCUAGUGCCUCUGAGUUUUGUUUUGAACUCCUUUUCUUGAUUAGGGACCCAGAAAAGGGGUGCUCUCUCUUACCCUUUCAGUGCCUCAUAUAUAGGUCUGGCCGACUCAGAGAACCCUGGGAUCCAUAUUCAACAGAAUCCUGCUGCUCCCAGGAACUCUUGGACCUGCUCGCAGGGCUCUGGUUCCCUCCCAGCACUGGGUCUGCAUGGGACUGGCUAGCAGAAGAUCAUCCAUACCUUGGAGGAGGAUGCAUCCUAGGUCCUGUCCCAGAACCUGGCUAAAUCAUAUGCCAAAGCCCAGCUGAAUAAGUGGUGCUAUCCAGGCAGUUGGUGGACACAGGAGGCAAGCAAGAUUACAGAAGCCGAAAAGUGUGCAAGGAAACUACUGGAAAUAUUGAUUAUAUUACCAAGGCUUUGACUGGAAUGGCAUGCUUGGGAGAAACAUGCAUGGGCUCAGAUAUGACCAGACAGCUUUCAAGAACUAAGCUGGAUUUUCCGGAGCUAAUAAAGCCCCUGGGAAAUAUCAGCCUGAUACUUGCUUACAGAAUCCCCAGCAGCCUUACCAGCCCUCUUAUUAAAUAACUGAUUACUGGAACAAUAGGCCUAACUUUGAGAACAUACCUGGGUCAUCACUUCCUGAAAGAGUUUAAUUGAACUGAAUAUAAGGACUAAGACUGGUUCAACAAGAUGAAACCAUCUACCAACUCAAACUUUAAGGUGUGCAUUUCGCUCUGUGAUGAAGGACACCAGCUUUCUAUGUAGGACACCCAUAUCAAGAUCACAGCAUUAGUUAUUCUUUAUUGUGAAAUACAACAGGAUAACUCCUAAGCAUCUUGGACAUUUGCAAAUUUUAAGAGAUAGACACAGGUGAAUGGAUCAGGCUUCUACGUUUUUGCUCUUCUUGUACUAUGUUCAGAAAGGAAUCUGGGAAUCCUUGAGAGUUGGAUAAAACUGGCACAAAAAAUGGAAAAAAAAAAACACUGAAUGAAGUCUUUGGAAAAAAAACAAACCCUACAAAUCGACUCAAAGUAAAACCUUUCUUAGGUCUGAAAAAACCUCAGACAAGUUUAGAAGCAUUUUUAUGUACAGUGUCUUUAUCUUCCUGCUGACUUUCAGAAGUAAAAACAAAGACAGACAAAACCCACAAAAGACAAAAACACAAAAUAAAACAAAAAACAACUCAACGAUAUGUUCUUAAAUGCGCAAAAUGGUAAUUAGGCUUUCGAAUUGAAACUGGCUCUUCAUGUGGCCAGCAAGAGAACAGUGUGGCCAAAGUGGACAGUACAGCAGCCGGCAGCAUCUUUCCUGGUUAAUCAAUGUGAUGGACAGGUGGACAUAGAUGGAUUUUCCUUGAAAGUUGUUCCAGCCAAACUGGUUUUCAUAGAAAGGGCUCUAUUUUAAUCUUUGUUCCAAUAUAACCACUAUAUAUCAGAUAUAAUCUAAACUGUGUUAUUUGUAAUUCAUAUUGCUUCUUUAAACUUUUAGUUGAGCCGAGAUUUUUUCUGUCCACCAGAUUAAAACUUAUCAGGUCCCAAAAUGUUUAUGUUCACCGUACAGUAAUGCAGUUACUUUAAGAGAUAAGACAGCGUUCGUGCAAAAUGCAAAAAUAAUCAGUGUACGAUAUUAAUUAGCAUUUUGAGUUUUAAUCCAGAGUAAGGGGCCCAGGCCUGUAGAUAGGGGAGGAGAAAGAGAAGCUUAUCGGUAACGUUCCUGGGCUGGACUUGUCCAGCUGUAGUUUUGGACCAUGCCAAGGUUAAAGAGGAAGGAGGGAACAAGGGAAAUAAGGAAGGGAAAUUCUUUGCUGGCUGGUGGCUGGUAUCUUCAUAAGCUGGUUUCUCACUCUGGCCCUGGUGGGUGUUUGUAGCUGAUACUUUCUUCUGUGGGUACUAUGAAGACCCUCUCAGUAGCACUUUUUAGUGGCAGCUCUCACAGCACGUGAGAACAUCUCUCCAUCUGACCUCAGCUCUGGUGUGAAGAUAUCCCCAUCCUGGUUCUACACCAAGUCGUUUCAUGCUCCAGACCAGCUCUUUCCCCUACAGUCCACAUUUGGUCCAUGGGAAUCAAACAUUUCUUGGCUUUUACUAAUGGAAGUAUAGUUCCUUUGCAAAUAGAACCAUGUUGUCUCUUUGUUUUCCUGAAAUAGGCCACUCUAAUUUUCUCAGUCCAUGGUAUCUCUCAAUUAUGGAGAGGAUUAGGUCCCUCUAGGGUCUCUGGCUGAAACCCUUACUCUUCAUUGAGAUCGUGAACUCCUCUCUUUUCCCCUUGGGGACUGGAGGUGAGGCUCCAGCCCAGCCUUUUCCAUAGAAACAUUCCCCCAAAUAUAUUUUUCGUUCUCUAAAUGCUUUGCCCCCCUUUUUAUAAUCUUGAUCUGAUUGAAUGGUCCAAGAAGCGUGGAACCAGUUUUUGUACAUUCUUUUUGUGCAUUCUACAUUUUGUCUGUCACCUAGCUUUGGUACACAUCACCUGUCGUAUUUUGUUGCAUGGACCAAAACCCCAGUUAACACUCUGUUACACUGAUGUGAACUCCAAUGGUAGUCCCCUUGCUUAGAUCUUAGCCUAAGAUUGCCAGAGAAAAUGGAUAACCAUUUAAAUUUUGGUUUCAGAUAAAUGGUGAAUAAUUUCUUUGUGUGUGUAUGUCAAUUGCUAUUGGAGAUAUGUGUAAACUAAAAAAGUGUUCAUCUGAAAUUCAAAUGUAACUGGGCACCUGGAAUUUUAUUUGCAAAGUCUGGUAGCCUUCUCUUAGUUACAACUGCUUAAAGCAACUUAAAUAGAUUUUGAUUAACAUUUUAUUAUCUGCAGGGCUGUAUAUACGUACUUAUGUCUCUCAUGUCCAAUCUGGAUAAUUAGAUGUAACCUGUGCUGGAAGCCUAAAAUAACUGUCCAGCAAAUCUGUUUUGACUACAAUAUGGUUCUGUUUCUGUCCGUGUCGAGAUUUGACAUCUUCCUGGUGACAAAUCAGUCUUUUAGCUACACAUGUGUAAUUAAUCUUGAGGGUGAAGAUGGUUUCCCAUCAGCCAUGUUCAGGCCUAGCUCGGGGAGGGUUAUAAUAGGAUGAAAAGAGUUGUAGUACAGAGAAUAAGCUGUUUGUUCUGUUAUUAAACACUUCACUGCUUGUAGUUAACGAUUUAUUCUUCAACUCAUAAAUACUUGUUAUUUGUAAUAUGUCUUGUAAGCACUUCAAAAUAUAUCCUAUUAAGGCUA